UCCAACAUAUAUUCCACCGGCUUCCUCAUUCAUUUUUUCAUUAUCCCACCCCUUCAUUGACUUCACCAACUGUGUUAUUCUUUCUUUAAAGAAGCUCAUCGGUUCCUUAUAUGUUUUUUUCAGGGCCUAUGUUUGUUGGAAUCCUUACGCUUGCUGACGUCUUUUGUGAUUAAGGGAUAAUUUUGUUCCUGGUUGCAUAUUUGAGUCUUAGGCACUCACUUCCUUUCUCUUUCUCAGUUUUCUUUCUACUCAUGGCAUCUCUAAUGGCAUUCUAUUACCGUGUUUGUAGGUUUACGCUUCGAAUUGUGUGAUUUUGUAUUUUUCAUUUCCGCUUUCGCUCUUGAAGAUGAGUAGUAGAAAUCGAUUGGAUGGUGAUUACAAAUACCUCUUGUCAUAUCGAUUUGAUUUCUUACGGUUCUCUCCGUUCGAGGCAACAAACGACACUCACAUUCCACUACGCUGAAGCAUGAGACUUUUCGAUUUGUUGGUCUUGCCAAGUAGAUUCAGAUAACAUUUUCUUUCCAUAUAUUCUUCUAAAAAGCAGUAAUUUAUGAAAUUCUCAUUCUACAAUCCAGAAAACUGUUAAAAAGGAGCUUGAAAAUCUCCAAAAAGAUUAAUACUUUUAUUGAUUUGGCUAUUACCAGUGCUUUUUCAAGGGAAAUUAAAACAAUCAAAGGGAAUUUUCUACAAAAUACGUAAAUAUGUUAAUAGCUGUGUUUUUUUUUUUUUUUUUGAUAGCUAAUUAGCAUUGAAGUGGUAGAAUGAAUUGGUUAUUAUUUACCCAUAUACCAGAUUAUGUCAUCUCUCUAUAUGUUUGGAAUGUUUGUGGGUUUGAUAUGUUUGCUGCUACUGUCACACCACAGUUGAAAAAACAUCUUUCCCUGCUAAAGGGGUUGUGUUAUCUCUUAAUAAUUGUGACCAUUUUACAGUUUUGAUUUCAAAAUUAUAUUAAAAAAUUAAAAUUGCAAAAAAUGUUUUUAGUCAAACUCAUAACAUGUGCAUGUUUGACUGAUUGAGUUGUCCUACAUCUCAAAAAAUCAGGGAACAAUCGACGGUGUUGACAUUAAGCCAACUUCAAAUUCGUGGGUCACAGUAACUGGAGGAGAAUUUGGGAAAACAAGCACAUAAGCAAGAAAAAAGAAGGGAAGGUCAUAAUGUAAAAAGAGAAGGUUAUGACGAUGAGAAUUUAAUUUUGCACCUUCAACUUUAGUCACUUUCAUCAUUUUUAAUGACUCAUAGUUUCUUGCCAUUCUCAGUCUAUUUUGAUUUUUAGAUAAACUUAUUUUAUUGAAAACUUUUUUGUAUUAUCAAGGAACAUCAUUCGAUAUCUCAACUGAAAAUUAUGAUAACAACAUUACUAGA